GCCGGGCGUUAUGGCUCACACCUGUAAUCCCAGCGCUUUGGGAGGCUGAGGCAGGAGGAUCACUUGAGCCCAGGAGUUCAAGACCAGCUUGGGCAACAAAGUGAGACCCUGUCUCUA
rnacentral:SRP_RNA from 1 species